CGAUGACGCAUGACAACAUCGUUGCCAUCACACCUUUAACCUUAGUAGGCAAGGAAGCUCAAAUAUAGUGGAAUAUAGUUGCACAUUGCUCAUCAUCCACGACCUUCUGUAUUCUGCUCGUCUACAACCACAACCGUGGUGCUACUCCUCCUCAGAGGCUCAAUCCAAUGUCAAGAUCCCCAUCUGCUCCAAGAUGCGCAACAUCGGGCCUGUCGUGGUAUGCCGGGGGUUUGCCUCGACCAAAAGGACCACACCAUGGACAUGCUCGUGGUAUGCCGAUGGCCGCCCCGCAACCUCGCCGCCACCAGUCGGCGUUCCUCCGCAGCAAGCCUCCUGCCCCCGCCAAUGGGAAGCCCGCCGCCGCCUCCUCCAAGCCCAAGUCGCCCGCCUCGCCCGCCCAGGCGCUGCCGCCUUCGUCCUUGGAGGAGAGGACGGUGAAGCAGCUCGGGCUGACCAAGGCGCUGACGCUCCCGGAGGCCACCGCGGUGUCGGAGGCGUGCAGGAGGAUGGCCGCCAGGCGCGCCGACGCCAAAGGGGUGCUCUCAGGUAUCGUCACGCCCGAGGACAUAUCGGGUGGAGUGAUAGCUGAGGGUCUCAGGCCUGACGCAACCAGUGUGGCAAAGGUGAUGACACACAACCCAGUUUUUGUCAUGUCCAACUCACCGGCCACCGAGGCACUGCAGAAGAUGGUCCAAGAUCUGCUUCUUUUUUUUCUUCAGAUUACAGUUUUGUUGCUGGUUUUACCUUCAGUUGGGUCAUUUGUUGAAUUAGUUUUGUCCAGUGAUCGAUUGGCCAUUUCUGAUAGUGCUGGUUCAGUGUCAUCCUAUGCAUGAUGAGGGAGAACCAAAGCAUCUUAGCAUGUACUCCCUCCGUCCGGAAAUAGAUCUAUCUAUUUCUCCGACAAGUAUUUCCGGACAGAGCAAGUACACAUUAAGCCGGCAGCCUGGUGGGUCAAUGUUACUCCCAUAAUCAAAGAAUCGUAUUCUUUCAGUAACCGAAGCUGCGGGCAACCGCAAAGCUACAAUAUGUCGGGCAUUACCUCUUGGCUAAUAGCCAAAGACAAGAACUGCAAGACGAAUAUUGUAAUUCAAAGUUCAGAAAGACGUUCUCUCAAGAAAUUCCCUACAUGUUUUACGUUUGACAUCUUUUUGUCAUUCUUAUGGAUAUAUAUUGUAUCUUGUCUCCAUGGUGUCCAUUUAGUCAUAUAGCUUUUGUAUACAGGCAAAUUUAGGCAUCUUCCUGUAGUAGAACAUGGUGAGGUCAUUGCCAUGUUGGACAUUACCAAGUUCCUCUGUGAUGCAAUUUCAAGAAUGGAGAAAGGCAGCCGAACAAGGCAGUGCUAUAGCAGCUGCUAUGGAAGGGGUCGAACAGCAGUGGGGAACUGAAUUUGCAGGUCCGCACGCAUUCAUAGAAAAUCUUCGAGAUCACAUGUUCAAGCCUUCCUUGUCAACUAUCAUUACUGAAAAUAGCAGUGUUCCAGCGGUGUCUGCUUCAGAUCUAGUAACUGUAGCUGCCAAAAAGAUGAGAGAGCACCGAGUUAACUCGGUGGUUGUCAUGACAGGGAACAUCUUACAAGGAAUUAUCACUGGCACAAAGUCUGUCCCCAGAGGCGACACUCGUAGAAAAGGUGAUGACGGCAAGCCCUGGCUGUGCUACACUGGACACAUCAAUCCUCGAGGCUCUGCAAUCAAUGCAAGAUAGAAAAUUUCGUCAUAUUCCUGUUGUAGACAAAAGAGGACAGGUUAUCGCCUGUUUGGAUGCUCUACAGUUAACCCACACCGCCAUCUCCAUGGCUGAGGGAGCAUCUGGACCAGACGGCGUGGCAAAUACUAUGAUUCAGAAGUUUUGGGUCUUGCAUCCUGCAGAGUAUGACUUGCAUAGUGAAGAAUCUCGUACAGCAGCAUCAGACAGUGCUGAAGGAAAGCAUACACCCCCUCCCCCUCAUGUUGGAAACGCAUUCUCUUUCAGAUUUGAAGAUAGAAAAGGGCGGAUGCAACGAUUCAGUUGCGUUUCGGAAAGCUUAGACGAGCUUGUGUCUGCUAUUGCAUACAGAUUAGGAACAGAAAACGACAAGGCGAAUGUAAACCUUCUGUACAAUGACGAUGAAGGUGACAGAGUACUUCUGGCUACCGACGCCGACCUGGUUGCAGCAAUUGAACAUGCCAGAUCAGCAGGAUGGAAGGUUCUGAGGCUGCACAUGGACUGACGGGUCAAAGAUCAGUGCAGAUCCCACACCGGCGUCGUCUGUGGAUACCUCAGCAGCAAGGAGAAGCUGGCCGUCCCUCCGGCUAGGUACAGUGGCCAGUGCAGCUGCUAUUGCCGGCGUCGGGGCAAUCGUCUACUUGAGAUGCUCUCGGCAAUGACUUCAAUAUACAUACCUCAGACUCAAAGAGCAUACUUCAACACUGUAUAGAUGUACUACGCAGGAGGAGGAUCACACAAAUCACGGUGGCAAUAAGGCUCUUUUUUUUUGCGGGUGGGCAAUAAGGCUCUUGCCAAGCCUCUACACUGAAUUUUUCUCCAGGGUUUGCAGUCAUUCUAAAUGGACUUCAGAGAGGCUCUUGCAAAGUGACUGUUUGUUGCAACAGAUAAAAAGCAGGCUGAUACAUGUACACAAACAAGAAAAAACAUCCUAGUAUUGGUAUAUAUCACCAAAAAUAUGUUAGGGUCACCCAAUGUUUAUCCCUCCUAUUUGUUUUGAUGAUGUGGGGAGGGAGUGAUCUGGUCAUCAGGGCUAAGGAGUUUUAUAGAAACUAGGUAUGUGCCUGGAAGCUUUUUUUUCUUAAUCUAUAAAGGUUAGGGCUGUCUUAAGGUAGAAGUGGAUGUAAUUCCACCUUAUAUGGCAUGGGGCACACGGGAAUCACCGGACUAGAAUUUUGAUUUUGGC
rnacentral:rRNA from 1 species